rnacentral:rRNA from 1 species
GCUCAGAUUGAACGCUGGCGGCAGGCCUAACACAUGCAAGUCGAGCGGUAGCACAGAGAGCUUGCUCUCGGGUGACGAGCGGCGGACGGGUGAGUAAUGUCUGGGAAACUGCCUGAUGGAGGGGGAUAACUACUGGAAACGGUAGCUAAUACCGCAUAACGUCGCAAGACCAAAGUGGGGGACCUUCGGGCCUCAUGCCAUCAGAUGUGCCCAGAUGGGAUUAGCUAGUAGGUGGGGUAACGGCUCACCUAGGCGACGAUCCCUAGCUGGUCUGAGAGGAUGACCAGCCACACUGGAACUGAGACACGGUCCAGACUCCUACGGGAGGCAGCAGUGGGGAAUAUUGCACAAUGGGCGCAAGCCUGAUGCAGCCAUGCCGCGUGUAUGAAGAAGGCCUUCGGGUUGUAAAGUACUUUCAGCGGGGAGGAAGGCGAUAAGGUUAAUAACCUUGUCGAUUGACGUUACCCGCAGAAGAAGCACCGGCUAU